rnacentral:misc_RNA from 1 species
UUAGCUAUAAAUACGAAUGCGAUAUUGACGUGGUUAGAUUUCUUUUGAACUACCGAUCAACAUGAACUGCCUGCUUCUAGCUGCUACCUUGUGUCUGUUUGUUGUUUUUGCAACCGCACUAACUGGAUGCAAUAAUGAUGGCUGUACGACGCAACUACAGGCGUACAUUGAUGUGGCUGCGAGUGGAGAAAUGGACAGGAUUUGCAGUGCCGCUCGCACCGUCAUUGACUGUUUGGGCAGCAGCUGUCGACUAGCUGACACCUUUAUAACUCUAUUGAAACAUCCAGUCUGCGACGGGUCCUAGGAUGGUUGCAAGUGCCACCGUCAUUGGAUCCAGAACUGUCUCCUCAAGAAUACCAGGUUCAGGUUCAGGAAGAGUGGUGAUUUCAGUUUCAUCCCUGCUCAUGACGCUUGUUUUCACCAAAAUAUUCGUGUGAAACAUGGUCACACUGUCUCAAGGACCAUUAAAGACCACAUCAGAAAAUCGGUCUAAAUUCCUUAAUUGCACUUAUCUGGGUUACACAAAGUAGAAUAUAGUACGUCGCAAAGAUGCACUCUUCACAUUUUAUGGAUGCUGUCGGCAGCCUUAUCCGACUUGGUCUUGGUGAACUACAGUAAACUACGGUUAUAACGAACUUAAAGGGACUGCUAAUUUUAGUUCGUUAUAAGCAUAUAUAUAUAUAUAUAUACAGCAUAACUACAGCCAAUAGUCGGGACCAAAGAAGUAACUUCGUUAUAUCCGUCAGUUCGUUAUAAGCGUGUUCGUUAUAGCCGAAAUUUUUACUGUAUUAGUGAACAAGAAGUGAGAUGUGAUGCUAAUCGAAUACUGUUAUUUAACCUAAAUGGUUCUAUUCAUUAUCAAAGUAUAGAAUGAGAUCACAAUAAAUAGUAUACGGACU